UUCCCAGAGCCAUCUCUUGAGAAGAGAACUCUGCCUGGGCUGAGCCAGGCACGUCAGAGGUCAGUCGAUGACGCACUUCAAGUCUCUCCAAAGGGACUUCUGGGAUAACUGUCAUCCUUGCCGAGUAACGGACAUUGGCAACCGCAGCAGAUCCCAGCCAGGGCACAGGCAGGUUGGGAGGCAAUGGACGCUGGCUUGGCGCGAUCCCUGAGUGGGUCUCAACAGUGGUGUGCAGUUCUAGCAUGAUCCUGUGUCCAUCCCAAGGCUCUAGAGGAAGCCGCUUGGAAAUUUCCAAGACAGUGUACAGUCUCAGGCUCUCCGAGGAGACUUGCUGCUGACCGCCCACAGAAUUUGCCCUUUGAAAGCAAGCACGGAAGAGCCAGAGAAUGUCCACCAGGAGCAGAUUCAAAACCACAAGAGAUCAAAGCCAAGCAUCAAAAUGAAGGCAAAGGUCCCUCACGCUCCUCUCCUCAUCUCUGUUCUUCAUUCUGGACAUUCUUACCUCCUGGGCUCACACAGUAUGUGGACAUCUUUAUAUCCGGUCAUUGAUAAGCAUCAAGAUUAUUGGAGGAGUUGUGAAGACCUCAAGUCAUGUGGAGCACGAAGUUGUCUAACAUGGAUGCAGAAACAGGACGGCUGCCUCUUUAAAACACAGUGGCUGACUUCUCUGUCCAGCCAUAUUGCUGGGACAACUAUGAGCAUAAGUUGUAGGAGCCAACAGCUCCCACUGCAGGGCAAGGAGGGAGAAAGCUUGUGUCUAGGGUGCUGGAUAUGUCUGAUGGGGAACACCAUAAUUGGGAUACACAGUUCUAUCAGGUGGGGCCUGGCUCCCUCCUGUGACUGGUAGACCACACCAGGCCAAACUGAGUCCCAAGGUUUAGGAACCAUGGGUCCAGGCCUGCUCUUCAGACCUCAAAAGAGACACAAGCAAAGGACUCUGUUAGUGACUGUGACAUUGACAGGACUUAACACAGAGUCAUCCUGCUGUCCCAUAGCUCUCCACGAGACUCCUCUCACCCAACAAGUUCCCAGUAAUGAAGUCCAACUCCCUCCUCCUUCCCUCCACUGCCUCUGGUUGCAUCCUUUUCUUGUCUGCUUCAGGCUCAACUUCCCCAGGAUCCACAUAUAGGGGAACAGUAAGAAAGCUUCUUCUAGGGCCACAGAUAUCUUAGAGUUCCUGUUCUAUACAUGAGUGCAGCAUAACAACGGCAAAUGCCUUGCAAUUCAAAGAUGAAAUACACAAGGGAAGGUCACUGGCCAUGCCUACUCGGUUUCCUUGGGACUCCAUUUCUCAUGCCUUGCUGUCCCUUAUCUGGGGUCCAUAUCUUCUAUCUGUGGUACAAAUAGGCGGCAGCAUAAACUGGAAAACAGGUGCCUAAUCUGUUUCCUCACCCCUUUCCAGCCCUUUCUGUGCUUCUUCUUGGAACCUGUGGUUUCCUCCUGGGUCUUGUCCUUGCUAGAGACCGGUGGUCACUCUUCAACUGUUAUUUUGUUGGUUUUCAUAUAUAGUGUUCUCAUUCCAAGGAUGGUCCAGGAUGUUGAUAGUCUCAUGUGUUCUCUCAGUGCACUGUAGAUCAAUUUCCUUCAGGUCUUAGAUGUGCUGAUGCUAGUGGUGAUCUCAGCAUCAUGCUGCUUUUCUGGUAUCCCUGUGCUGGCUUUAUCUUCAAGGAACCACUGAUCUUUGAGGGAUGAGAGACUGAGCAUAAUGGUGCUGUGCUGCCCAUUUCCUCACUCUCAGCCUCCUCAGCAUCAUGCUGGGAUUCUGGCAUCCCUGUGCCGCUGGUGUCUUCCAGGAACCACAGCCCAUUGAGUGAUAUGACACUGAGCAUGUUGUCACUGCCCGGCUACUCACUCUCAGCCUCCUCAGCAUCAUACUGGGAUUCUGGCAUCCCUUGUGCCGCUGGUGUCUUCCAGGAACCACAGCCCAUUGAGUGAUAUGACACUGAGCAUGUUGUCACUGCCCGGCUACUCACUCUCAGCCUCCUCAGCAUCAUGGGGAGCUGAGGUCUAAGAAGGGGUGUCCUCCAGCCAGGAGAGGUAGUCCUCUGAUGUGUCACUACCACCAGGUGAGGUAGUACUCUCCUUGUCCUCUGAGGUUUUAUUGGUGAUGUAGGUGGACACAGGAGAAAACUGUGGGGGCAGAAUUCCAAGGCCAGCUGAUAUCUGGCAGCUUGUAUACAAAUGGAGAGCUGGACCUAGAGGAGCUCUUGCUUUUUCUCACUUCAUUCACUUCUUGCCCUUUGUUGUCUUCAGAUGUCAUGAAUGUGGGCAAGGCGGGUUCACUCCCUGCUCUCCUUAGGGUGGGAGGGAGGAUGGGAGGACCUGCAGAAUGACUCUUCAGAACCGGCCAUGUUUCACCAAGGAUGCUACUAUCCCUUUUUCUCCAGUUGAACAUAUUGUUUUUUUUUGCAAGGCAUCAUUAAGCCUAUUUGUUCCUUGACCUUUCUAGGGUUUCUUCAGCCAUGGGGCCUAAGCAGCACAUAGUAUCUACAAUGGUGGAGAUGGACAGCCUGGAACCAGUUUCUCUCGAUGGUGCUAGUAAAUCUCCAUCACAGAGAUCCAUGUGUGGAAAUUCUUUCUCCAUGUUCACCACGGUGAUAGAUGGGGGAUUGGACCACCAUAACAUGCUAGAAAUAAAAAGACAGAAGCAGGUCUAAGAGAUAAAUUUAUGACUUUUAAUUUUUACUUCAGGAAAAUCAUAGCUACCUCAACAUGCUAAAGAUAGUCUUGGGGUCAGAGGUUAAAAAAUAAGUGCCAAUCCAAACCCUAAAGAAGGGGCAGGGAGAGAAGGAGGAGUAGAAAGAAGGAAUAAAGAAAUGAAGAAAAGAAGAAAGGAAUAAAUGAAGGAAAAUGAGGGAAUAAGGAGACAUAAUGAAAGAAAAAAUGUUUAAAAGUUCUGGCUGGAUAAGCAUAUGAAAUCCCAACAGUUAAGUCCACUUACUAUCUUAUCAUCACUAGUGAAUGAGAGUGAAGAGAUUGAGUUGGCUAACAGGAACUUUGGGGAUUACCUGAGGGUCCCACUGUGGAAAUGGAUCUGGGCGUCAUCUAGGUGAAACCCUCAAGCAAAAAGAGAUGUGUUUUAUAUGGUGACAUUAGUUAGACAUAUUGAUUUAAAUAACACAUUAGCUGUUCAGAAUGGACAGCUGUUCUCUGCAGCAUCUCCUAGGAAGAGAACGCCAGCCUAAGCCCCACUUUUCUCUUCAUGAGACAUGUACAGGAAGGACCAGGAAAAUCUGUUUUUCCUUGGGCACUCUGCUACCUAAUAUAACAAGUCACAUUACAGUACCAUUGGAAUGUAAGGGAACACCAAUUUAAAUUGAUAUGUCUCCAUAUCAUGUGAUGAGAUUAAGGGGGUACUUAAAAAUUGCUCUUAUUCCUAGCAUGGUCUUGGGAUGUGUUUUAUUGUUCCCACAUAACCAUAAAAGGAAAAGGACAACUGUUUCCAUUAGGAGAUAUAAGUUUACAGUUGGUAGGGACUUUUUUAAACCUCUCAGUUAGUUAUAUGGUGUAGGUAUGCCUCAUGACAGACAUAUGAUUCUAUAAUCAACUAUAACAUCCUCGAGACUAGAACCAGGGUUCAUUUCCUGUGAUGAGUGAUGGUGUUUUCAGGUUACUGACAAAGUAGAUGGAAGCAGAAUACUCAAUCACUGAAAAUUUAUUCAAUGAAGAAUCUGCUGUUGAUUAAAAAAAAGAAUUAAAACACUCAAGUUAUGAAACCAUCUGUAACUGGGUUUUCUCCCUCCUUUUCAAGAUCAUUUUAAAUGACUGCAGUGUGCAGAGAGCAACUUCACAAUGUAGGCUUUAGUAGUAAGAGAAGCAGCAUUGUGAAUGUGCACACAUGCUAUACUUUUUGUUUUGCUGAAAAUAAUUGCAGUCAACACAUUGAGUCCAUUUGGCAGAUGUAACUUUCUUGACUAAAGUACAUUGAGGAAGAGGUCUGGAGAUGGUUUGGAGCAAAGCAUGACUUCUGAGAGACAGUGACAUUAGGGGAAAUUAGAGACUGGAAUCCCACGCUCCAACGAUCUCUAUUGGUUUGUUCCCUCCUGGGUUGACCAGGAGGAGACACACUGCUUCAGCCUCAUGCUUGUUUCAGAGCUGGUUUAUCAGAGCUUGGUGCUUUUCACUUUUUUCCUUUUCCUGCUGUUAUCAUCCUCCUCCUCCUUUCUUCCCCUCCCUGCUUUUCUUGUAGACAUGCUGGCUGGAACUCUCUGUGUUCACAUUGACUUUCAGCUCCUGAUCCUGUUACCUUCAUCUCCCAAGUACUGAGAUUACAGCUGUGCAGUAUCAUGUGUGACUUUAUACCUACAUCAUCUUAUUUUGUUAAUGUUACUACUUGUUAAAUUAAAAAAAAAAGAUAAAUUGUGUUUCUUGUGUGUUGCUUUUGACAGAUGAUUACGUGAACAGACCUUGUUAUUUCUGGAUCCAGAGAUACUUUCUAAAGUAUUGAUGGCCUACUUUGUGUCAUUUUGUUGACAUCUCAUUUGGAGGUGUGCAAUGCAGUGUUAUGUCUCUGCCCUUGCUACUAAUGACGCUUGUUGCACUGAAGAUUCAAUUUCUUCAUUUAUAGUACUACCUUGUCUUUGUGAGGCUACUAUGGGAUAAUUUGUUGCAAACAUUAGCACAGGUGUGGAACAGAGUAAAUGCUCUAUAAAUGUUAGUAAUUUUUAUUGGAUAAUUAUUUCAUUUGUGCCAUUGACUUCCUGUUAUGUGCAGAUUUAGAUGUGCCUUUUGAAAUGUAGAUACCAGAGUGGAUUUUAUACAGGGUGGAUGAUGAAUCAGCCACAGAAAGUACAUGGACCUUAGAAUAGAAUGUGUUUCCAGGUGGAGUUAGAAAUAGAAAAGCUACAGGCAUGAAGGUCAGAUUCCAAACUACUUUUAAAUAUCUAUCUAUCUAUCUAUCUAUCUAUCUAUCUAUCUAUCUAUCUAUCUUUGUGAGUAUAUGCGUUCUGGCAUUGAGUUUAUGAGUACCACAAGCGUGCAGGUGCCAGCGAGACCAGAAGAGGCAGUCAGAUAACCAGGAACUGUAGUCAAGGCCAUCCAGGGUAGAUUCUGAGAACUGAUUCUGAACCUGUGCAAGAGAAAUAAACACUAUUUUUUAAAA